rfam:Brassica napus, WGS project CCCW01000000 data, contig: 33309
AAUCCAUGAUGAGGGUAUUGAGCUUGGUAGCCUUUGAAUCUCUCCAAGGCUUCACUGAAUCCUUCCAAGCCUUUCUGUUGAAAGCUGGAGAUCUCAUUUCUCAGCUU